rnacentral:rRNA from 1 species
GUAGUCAUAUGCUUGUCUCAAAGAUUAAGCCAUGCAUGUCUAAGUAUAAGCAAUUUAUACAGUGAAACUGCGAAUGGCUCAUUAAAUCAGUUAUCGUUUAUUUGAUAGUACCUUUACUACUUGGAUAACCGUGGUAAUUCUAGAGCUAAUACAUGCUGAAAAUCCCGACUGUUUGGAAGGGAUGUAUUUAUUAGAUAAAAAAUCAAUGCUUUUCGGAGCUCUUUGAUGAUUCAUAAUAACUUUUCGAAUCGCAUGGCCUUGUGCUGGCGAUGGUUCAUUCAAAUUUCUGCCCUAUCAACUUUCGAUGGUAGGAUAGUGGCCUACCAUGGUUUCAACGGGUAACGGGGAAU